rnacentral:rRNA from 1 species
AAUAGAUACCCCGGUAGUCCACGCCCUAAACUAUGUCGACUAGUUGUUGGGGGAGUCUGUCCCUCAGUAACGUAGCUAACGCGUGAAGUCGACCGCCUGGGGAGUACGGUCGCAAGAUUAAAACUCAAAGGAAUUGACGGGGACCCGCACAAGCGGUGGAUUAUGUGGAUUAAUUCGAUGCAACGCGAAGAACCUUACCUACCCUUGACAUGCCAGGAACCUCGCAGAGAUGUGAGGGUGCCCGAAAGGGAACCUGGACACAGGUGCUGCAUGGCUGUCGUCAGCUCGUGUCGUGAGAUGUUGGGUUAAGUCCCGCAACGAGCGCAACCCUUGCCAUUAGUUGCUACAUUCAGUUGGGCACUCUAAUGGGACUGCCGGUGACAAACCGGAGGAAGGUGGGGAUGACGUCAAGUCCUCAUGGCCCUUAUGGGUAGGGCUUCACACGUAAUACAAUGGCGCAUACAGAGGGCUGCAAACCCGCGAGGGGGAGCCAAUCCCAAAAAGUGCGUCGUAGUCCGGAUUGUUCUCUGCAACUCGAG